GCCCACGUGGCUCAGGUGGCUAGAGCACGUCCUUGGUAAGGACGAGAUCACCGGUUCGAGUCCGGUCGUGGGCU
rnacentral:tRNA from 1 species